GGGGGUCCCUGCGGGCGGGCGGGGUGCCGGGAGGAGGGUUGCCUUAGCUCCCCGGUGCGCCCUCUCAGUUUGCUCUCCUCGGCAAACAAGACUAAUGCUGUCCGCCCGCGAGAUUAAGAGUUGUUUGCCGAAGGUCGCUCGGGUUCCGGCGCUUUGAAACAGUUUAAACAGUUGGGACGAACACGCCUGGAGACCCGGCGAAGGCGCUGGUGUCGGAGCUGCGCCUCCCUGAUUUGGAGUUGCAGAACCUUGCCCCGCUUUAUCUCACCCAACUGCCCUUUCUAGGUUCUUGGAAUUAUGCAAAACCAGAAUUUUACUGGCUAUUCUCCCGAUGUCAGCAAUAUAAAUUUGAAGAUUAUCUUGUCAAAUAGGCGCCAACCUCAAGAGGAUGCAGAAGACUAAAUGAGAGAAGACAUGCAGUGCUCAGAACAGUCCCUGGCUCCCACUCUCGGCUCAGUGACAUUCACGAUAUCACCAGCUCCUCCGCCACUAUUGGCGAAGAAGCACACAGGGCCCAUAGAUCCGUCAGCUGAACCCAGGGGGGCCCAGACUGUUUCCUGGAUGCCAGACUCUGACAAAUCAAGGUUCAUUCCCUUGACGCUAAAGCCAUCUGUUCACAGAAGAACAAGGAACUACCAUCCUUAGGUCAAAUGACAACUGGAGGAGUCUCUGGGCUCCAAGGCCAGCACUGCCCUACUGUGUGAAUCCCAGAGAUAUGAUGUCAGAAAUCUAAAAAAGAAAAGAAAACAAUCUCAAACCUGGCGUGGUUUAAAUUCUCUCUCAAGCAGGCCUCUUUCAAAUGUGAGGAAGUUCAGCUCUCAACAUGUAUUAACAAAAGGUGUUUACAACAGAAUGCCUGGUUGUGCCUCAUAAUGGCUUUGCUCUUUGAAUUAAUUCCUUCCUGGUGACAAAGGCUGAGCUUUGGAGCUUCUGGGUAUGGCUAGGCAGGGCCUUUUUGCUUAUCUUGGCUCUCUUAAAUGGGUAGGAAAGGCUUGGCUGGGCACCUGGUAUUUUGUGGCCAAUAAUUACACUACAAUUGUUACUGUGCAUUACCGAAACUUCAUUUUUUGACCAAAAGCCAACUGUACUGUUUAAAACAAACAUCUUGUGAAAGCCUAACGUACUUUGGAAUGAUUUUAAAAUCCACUUUGCAAAUGGCAUUUCGUACAAGUCAGAUCUUUUUAAACGAUGUUUUGCUUUAACACAGCAUCUCUUUGCCUGUCACUUGGUCUGAGUUCUUCAGCUCUUACAAGUAGUAUGUGCUCUUUCCACUUAAGCCAUCUUAAUGCUUCCUUUUCCCUUCAUCACUGUCGAUAUACUGUACAAUAACACGUCCCUCUGGGGCAGAUUUACUCUAGGGUGUGCGCUCAUAACUGAGGUAGGGGAAGCGAUAAACACUUAAACACCAAGAAAAACAAAUCUCCUUCUCCACAUUUAGAAGACUGGGAAACCAUCUAUGGACAGGCUUUCACAGCCGGGGGGUCUUCCCCUGAGAAGACAAGAUCCCCAGUUCUUAAGUGGAAACUUGAUCACCAAGAUUGUAGGAUCCAGCUAUCAGGGGUGGAGCAUAGGGAUUGAGGUAGGGGAGAGGGAAUGGUAUACUUAAAGACCAAUCAGGCAGAAAGGGGCUUAACCUGCCAGUUCCCAAAUAUAAGAACUCCCAUCAAUGCCUCUUCUCCUCACUGUUAGUUUCAGGAAAAUGACACAGAGACUUCAUCUCACAAGAACCUGGUGAAGUUAAAUGUGAUACACAAGUGAUUGAGAAAUGGUUUUUUUCUUGGGACUCCCCUAUCCCCACUUUCAUGCCUUGGACGGCAGACCCUUGUCUCAUUGCCUCAAGGUGAGGGAGUGAUGUGACAAGAUAAAAAACAAAACAAGAACAAAAAACUUCUGUGAGUUGUGUUUUGUGUUACAAAAGACCUUGGAGGACUGGAGAGGAUUUGGGGUACAGCCAAAGUAUUUAGAAGAAAAAGGUUUGAGGAGAAUUGGGCUUUCCUGGAAGACUAGAAAUACUUCCCUUCAUUGGGGUGGGGAGAGAUGUGGAGGAAAGCCAGAGAGCAAAGGCCUGGCUGGGUCCUUCCCUCCUACUUGACUCUUCUACCUCAGGAAGGCAGCAAGCCUGGGGAGAAGAAUGGCUGCGUGGUGUGGGCCUACAGAACUUUCCAGACCCUGGAGUGGCCCCAAAGAAGCAGGGAAGCUGCUACACACAAACGGGUCAUGUAAACAGGAAGGAGGCAGAGAGGCAUUAGCAUCAGUAGGCAGACUGGAAGGAACUGCAGACAUCUUGGUUGGUGCCUCCUCAAAGGGCUGACUUGAACAAAUGGAUCUCCCAAUACUUUGGCACUAACCCCUGCACCCCCACCACGUCCCACCCCAAACUUAGAGACACCCUCACAGCUGGAGAAAUACCCAAAUGAUGGAAGUCAUUGCUGACACCUUCCAAAAUAGAGUAGGGGCUUAAAAGAUAAAUUAAGUUGAUUUAGAGUAGAAUAAAGAUACAUUUCUUGCACACUUGCGUUUAUAUACUGAGAUCUGUGCCUGAUCUAAUUUGAGCUUCUGGGGAAUACAGUGUGGUGUAGUAGAGAGAUCACUAACUUGAGAGAGAGCUCUGUCACUUAGUAGUAUGUGACCUGGACAAGUCAUGUAACUAACUGCUCUGGGUCUCUAAGUCCUCAAUCUAUAAGAUGUGUGUAGUAACACCUGUCCUGACAACUCAAAGUGCUGUUGUGAGGGAUGGGAUGCUGCAUGUGGAAGUCACAGAAUACAGUGCAAGGCAAGGAGGUAGCGUGAAUUGUAUCAAAUGCAAAGCAUAAUUAGGAACUUGUAGGAAAGACUGGCUAGAUACUCGUCAAUUUCAUGUUAUCUUCCUGGCACACAAAAGACAACAUGUCCCCGCCUCCCCUGCAGUUAGGAUGGAUCCAUGUGAUUGGGAAGUCACUGACAGCACUUGUAGACCUAGCCACAAAUUCCACUGUGUGGUUUUAUAGGUACUCCCUUUUCCCUCUGUGGCAACUCUUGAAAUCAAAGUUGAAGUUGAUGGUGUUUUAAGAUGAGAGGAGCCUGAAUUCCAAAGUUGCCGCUUGAAGGAGCUGCCCAGGAGAUCCCCCUACUUACCUUGGAUUGUGAUGUAAGGUGCAAACUUUUAUUAUGUUAAGUCAAUAAUAUUUUAGGGUUAUGUGUUAAUGCAGACUAUCUAGCCUAUCCUGACUAGCAUAGUACUAUAAUAAUAGGAUAACACAUUAUUAUAAUGUAUUUAUACAUAUCAUGUAUGUAUAUAUAUAUAUUAUGAGAUGUCUCAAGGCAUGAAGAAAUGGCUUAGUCUAUAUCUUUCCUUCUAUAUUUUGAAGAAUAUAAAAGUUCAAUUUGUGCUGUUCUUGGGCAAAGAUGUCACAAGCACAAGUUACAAUGACAUUGAAGUCUAUGGCUUGCUCAGUGGAAGCACAUUCACCUAUAAACCUGGGAGAAACCUCUCACCUGGAGUUGACAGAUCUCUCACCUGGUCCUCUGCACAACUUCAUCACAGCUGCUGGGGGUUUUACCUUGCUGCCCGGUCUUAGCUGGGAGACAGCCCCCUCCUUCCUCGGCUCAAACUCUCCAUGGAUGCUCAGCAUUCUAACAGGGAGGACCCAGGAGAUGCUCUUGGAUUCAGGCAAUGAGGAAACCCGUUCUCUAGGGAGCACAGCUGUUACAAAACAUCUUAAGUCAGUAGGUUUUCAGUGUUUGCUUACUGCUACCUCCAUUCCCAAAACAGUUCCAAUGUGCACACAUUUGCAGCUUAACUUCUGCUCACACCACCAGAGCAGCUGGUACUCUUGACUGUACUCAGAGACCAAAACCUCACUGCAGCCCUGGAGGCUGUCCAACUCCAGGCAGCAGGACAAUGAUGCUUUCCCCAGAAACCACACUCUCUUUGUCCAGGGCUGGCAAGAGAGCCCAGUUAUCUUUGAGGUCUUGGGCUUCAAACUUCCUCUGCCACAUGCCUGGUCACCACUCCCUCUCUGGGUAAGGCUUUAUUCUAAUGUCUUUGGACCAGUGAGAAGGAUCCCUAGGGAAGGCUGAUCGCUUCGUUUCUUAACAAACACUUCCCUCCAGCACGAGUUAGCUUUGACCCAUGGCAGAGAAUCCUGCCCAGUGGACAUGCAGACUUGGGCCAUCAGUCACACAGGGUGAAUGAGGAACCAUAAAUACAAUGGGAAAUCUGUCAGCACAAUUGAAGGAAAUCUCAAAGCUCCCAUCUUACUGAAGGCCAGUAAAUGUAGCUGUAUCAUCAUCUUUGAAUAAAUGGUACUGACCUUCAGAAAAAGAAAGCAUUAAUAAACUUUCUCUAUUACUGUUAUUGUUUUUAUUAUUGUACUGAGAAUUGCUAACCUGAAGAAUGAAGACACUUUAAGUGUUUUUAAUUGUUGCUUUCUAAAAUAAAUGCUUUUAAAAUCAUAAAACUAAUAUGUGCUUAUUGUGGUAAAUUUGCUAAGUACAGAAAGGUAUCUAAAAUUUAUCAACUCUGCCUUGUGAUUUAGGUAGCCAUGUACAUGUCUAUCUCCCUUCUACAUUUUGUGUUUCUUUUUUCUUUUUUUUUUUUUAAAAGGAGUCUCAGGGUUUUUUUGUUUUUAUUUAUUA